rnacentral:lncRNA from 1 species
AUUCAGAAAGACACUGCAAAGCAGAGCAAAGCCUCUUUUCUGCCUUCCACAGCUCAGAGAAAAAUACCUAGGGUAUCUCAGCCUCCUGAAUAUACCCCUGCAGUCACAGUGUUCAGCUGCUUGGUGUAGGAAUCCCUGCUCUGAGAACUCCCCCAGGCCAUCAUCUAACAAGAGGCACCAGCGCUGGAUGGGAUGCCAUGUGCCAUUUCCUAGCAGCAGUGCCAGUCCCAGCCCCUCCACCUGCCUACCUGCAGUGCCAAGGGCACCGAAACAACUGCUUCUCAACCAGCUGGCAUCAGACUGUCAAGAAACAAAGACUGGUACUAUUUUAACAUACAUUUCUUUACUGCACUGCCUGUACUUUAAUCACCAAUCUGCGACGUUUAACCGGGGCCCACUGGACAGAUGCCGGC